AUCAGAGGAUGGAAGGAGAAGAAGCUCUCCUUUGGAGGGAAAGAAGUGUUGUUGAAAGCUGUUAUUCAAGCCAUUCCUUCAUAUGCCAUGCUAGUCUUUAAACUACCAAAACAAAUUUGCAAUGCGAUAACAACCGCUAUGUCACAGUACUGGUGGGGAGAUGAGGAUGAGAAGAAGCACAUGCACUUGUUCGCGUGGUGGAAGAUGUGUGUGCCAAAGAGCAACGGAGGUAUGGGUUUCAGUGAUGUACACUGUUUCAACCUGGCUCUCCUAGCUAAACAGUGCUGGAGACUGCUAGCAGAACCAGACUCUUUGUGUGCCAGAGUAUUGAGGGCAAAGUAUUUCCCGGACGACAAU
rnacentral:rRNA from 1 species